GAUGAACGCUGGCGGCGUGCCUAAUACAUGCAAGUCGAGCGAACAGACGAGGAGCUUGCUCCUCUGACGUUAGCGGCGGACGGGUGAGUAACACGUGGAUAACCUACCUAUAAGACUGGGAUAACUUCGGGAAACCGGAGCUAAUACCGGAUAAUAUAUUGAACCGCAUGGUUCAAUAGUGAAAGACGGUUUUGCUGUCACUUAUAGAUGGAUCCGCGCCUCAUUAGCUAGUUGGUAAGUUAACGGCUUACCAAGGCAACGAUGCGUAGCCGACCUGAGAGGGUGAUCGGCCACACUGGAACUGAGACACGGUCCAGACUCCUACGGGAGGCAGCAGUAGGGAAUCUUCCGCAAUGGGCGAAAGCCUGACGGAGCAACGCCGCGUGAGUGAUGAAGGGCUUCGGAUCGUAAAACGCUGUUAUUAGGGAAGAACAAAUGUGUAAGUAACUAUGCACGUCUGGACGGUACCUAAUCAGAAAGCCACGGCUAACUACGU
rnacentral:rRNA from 1 species